UAAAGAAGGCUCUUUGGGGUCUCUCUUUCUAUUUGACAGGACAAACAAAUAGGAAGGGAUGGUUCUUUCAUUGCAAGAAGUCUAACUAGAAAAGGAUAUCCCUAUUACUUUGAGAAGAGAAUUGUUGGUUUGACCGACGAACUACAUGGGAAAAUGGAUCUUCUUUCUUUUUAGAAAACAUUUUUUGAAAGUAACAAUUCCAUUCAGUUCGGUUUCGGAAAACUUUCCGCCGGGGCCUAACAUCAAAGGCGCAGGUUGAUCUCUAUGGUUGAGGCUGCAAUUCAUUUUUACACGUGGGAAGGGCUUACUCUACUAGAGGCUCGGCUUGGUCUCGCUCCCUUCCCGUACUAUUCCUCCCCACUAAAAAAAGAGCGAUUGAGAAUCUCGAGAACCUUUCUGAACGUCUGUCUUCGCGGGGCGAUUUGAAGAGGAGAAGGUAGUCUUAGUGGGCUUUUGUGGAGCGUGAAAAAUUGUUGGAAUUCUAUGAAAGAGUCUCGGGAGCCAGGAUGCAUGCCAGUUUCAUACGACCAGGUGGAGUGGCACAAGAUCUGCCUCUUGGCUUAUGUCGAGAUAUUGAUUCCUCCACACAACAAUUUGGUUCUCGUAUCGACGAAUUAGAAGAGAUGUCAACCGGCAACCGUAUCUAGAAACAACGAUUAGUGGAUAUUGGUACUGUCACUCCACGCAAGCAAAGGAUUGGGGAUUCAGUGGUGUAAUGUUAAGAGGUCGUGCGACAUGAAGACAUUGAUAGCAAUAUGGGGGAAGUUACCAUCAGGCAACAACGGUUCUGCCUAACCCUACUUAAGCAUGCAUAUUAUGUUAGUGAAGACUUGGUGUGAAGCCUUGGAGCUUACGUUAGAAGAGCAAAAGGCCGGGGGCUAGGGUGAACUGAGGGGGACAGCGUAAGUGAGUGAAUGUGUGUAAGCGCAGUCAAACAUAACUGUUCUAAGAGGGGUGGGCCACCCACCUUCGAAUGGUGUUGGUCCUACAGACUGUGAACGGAUUCGCCUCUGGCCUAUGGGCACGUCGGAACCGCAUGAGUUCACCGGGGUGGAGCACGGUCCGCCAAAAUCGGCAUAGGUUAGGUGCUAUUGAUGGAACAUGGUAAGCCUAUCUUUCUCCAUAUGGAAGUGUUGCGGGCACAUAGAGAUGUGGGUAGAGGAAGCCUCAAAAAGCAAAGGCCGAGCUGUAGGUCACGUGACCUGCACCGAGUUGGUGGCUGACUGGGCUUUUGAUUUGAUCAAAGCAGAGAAGCUCGCCUUCUUGUUAUCCAAAAACAUAAGUAGGUCGAAUCGGUCGGGCCCCUGCCCCGGAACGCCGAAUGAAAUAGGUGGUCGGGUUCUUUUUCUACGACCCUUUUUGUAUGGUAGGCGUAGCCCCAGGACCCCUAUCCCUUUAGGAGCGGGAUCCGCCCAAGAACGACCUUUCGGUGGUACGGAAGGCACGGACUCCGCGAACGUCCCUAGCCCCUUUACUAAUAAGGAAAAGAAAGCCUCAACCAGAACCACAUUCCUUUUGCGUGCAGAUGUAGCUAAGUGUCUGACUCUAUUGAUCAUAGUUUCCUACUGUUGCGGCCGGUGCUCGUUUGCGUACACGUGAACCAACCCAACAAACAAGGAAAAGAUGCCUCUCGGGGCAUCUGAGAAUGAUUCGAGCCGUAUGAAGGGAAACUCUCACGUACAGUUUCUUUUUUUGGGGGGGAAGGAGCCCGACAGGGUCCCCCCACUGACUUGGCCCGGGCCUAAGUGAAAGUGAAGUGGUGGGCCUACCCAUCCCAACCAGGGGUGUGCUAGGAUUCACAAAGAGCAGCACCUUACGAUGUUCAUGACCAAUCGAAUCCUGACGUACCAGUAAGUACCAGAGGAUAUCGCUAUGAUCGUUACUGUAGUCGUAUCGAAGAGAUGCGACAAAGUGUUCGGAUCAUUGUGUAAUGUCCUAAUCAAAUGCCUAGUGGAAUGAUCAAAGCCGAUGAUCAUAAGCUAUGUCCUCCAUCACGAUCUCGAAUGAAACUAUCCAUGGAAUUGUGUGCCGCGUGAAACAUAGGUCGCAAACCGAAGAAGGUAGUCUCAGUGGACUUUUGAGGAGCGGGAAAAAUUGUUGGAAUUCUAUGAAAGAGUCUCGGGAGCCAGGAUGCAUGCCAGUUUCAUACGAUAAUCAAAAGGUACAACGGCCCGAGCGACCAGACUUAACAUAAAUCUAGCCACUGGAGCCAUUCUAAAAAGGGAGAAAUUUACACUACUUGGUGAAAUAGGUUCUUUUAUAAUCAAUUUAAAACCAUCUGCUAGAGGUUGUAACAAUCCAAAUGAUCCCACUACAUCAGGACCCUUUCGACGUUGCACAAAAGCCAUUACUUUACGUUCAGCUAGCACUAAAAACGCUACUCCUAGUAGAAGUGGUAGAAUUAUUCCAAGUAUUUCGGCUAGAACUGCUAUGUAAAUUUUCUAUUUUCUAUUCACUUAUGAUCUGUCCUAGUCGACCCGAUCAUGAUAUUUCACUCAGGAUCUGGCUUAGUCGACCCAAUCAUGAUUUUGAAGGAUGAGACCUUUCUCGAAAAAGAAAGGAGAUUUUAUUUCUUCUUCCAAGCCCUUCUUAGAAGAUGCAGUCAGUAAGCUCUCACUUAUCUUCUUCAUUUACGAAAAUAGAUAGAUAAGAAAAGAUGUCAGCCUCCUUUUCUCGCNUAGAUAGAUAAGAAAAGAUGUCAGCCUCUCUUUUCUCGCGGAACACUCACUUAAUGGGGCUAUUUGAAUUGGAAGACAACGAAAAAAGUGAAAGAAGGAGGUCUAUUUCGUUGAUCGAUGUCAAUGGACCAAGAAAUCUGUCCUUUGCUGAAAGCUCAUAGGGUAAGAAAAAUGGAAAGGUAGGUUUUGUCAGUGAUUAAAUGGGAAGGUCAGCUGGAGUGAAAACCAAUCAAACUCAGAAAGAUAGGUAGAUCGAGCGCGCUGAGGAAAUUCGAGAUAUCCGGAGACAUGGCCACUACUGGCCUACGGUCCUUGCAGAUUACAUAGCACAUGCUAAGAGCUGUGAUGCCUGCUAGAGGUAUGCAGGAAUCCAGCACAAGUCAGAUUUCGAGUUAUACACGAUUAUAAAGCCUUGGCCAUUUCGAGGGUGGGCCAUGGAUAUCAUCGGAAAGAUCUAUCCCAGAUCUUAAAGAGGUCAUACUUUUAUCCUAGUAUAGUAGCUACGGCCCAGCCUUCUCCACCUUAUGCACUGGGUAGAAGCCGAGCCUCCCCAGAAUGUGACUUCUACGGAGGUAAUAAGGGUCUGGUAUAUAUUACUUCUAUUCGUCCGCUUAUGCAGUUCAUGUAGUGAUUUAAUUUGUGUCUGCUUCUACUAGUCCCCGUCGCGACGUUAGGAGACAUACAUUGGGUAAUUCCAAGACCACACAGGCCAUAGGUAACGGCUCUUAUGCCUUGCCAGCAGAAAGAAAUCCAGAGACCAUCCUCCCUAUCGCCCACCCAAUGCUUACUAUCGAGAUUGGUUCGCCGGCCUUUACUCCCAUUCCGAAGUUUCCAAAUUAGCUUUAGAGAUUGAGCAAGUGUAAAAAGUCUAGAGUGAUCUGGUUUGCGCGGCUUUCGGGUUAUGUCUACUAGAAUAACAACCCGUAGUCUAGUUGAAACCCUCUUUUACAAGAUUACAGACUAAAAGGACUCGCUUUCUUUCUGAAUCCGCUUUCUCUAUUGACAUAUAAUAGUCUCGACUUGAGCCCUUCCUCGAAAUAAAACGGCGAAGGAACGCCUUCUCUCUCGUGCUAUGGCUUUGCUUGAGACUCCCUUUCUUCUUAGGUUUUCUGUAAGUCUAGUUCGUGGUUCACGGGUGACGUUACCUGGAUAGAUGGGCAAUUCCUAUCGGUGGAGCUAAGACACCUUCGAGAGAUAUAGCUCCAGCUCUUGAUGUGUGACAACCCGAAAUUUCCAUUUGUACGAACAAUAUCUAUUCAAUAGAAGUCAGUCCAAUUUCAGUGAUUUUCAGACUUUUUCGAACAAGUUAGUGUACAUUAGGGUUUACACUUUAGGAGAUAUCAGGAGAGUGGAUGCUCCAGGGUUUGUGAAAUUUGAACAUUUCAAGUUUCAUAAAGUUACAGCCCAAGUUCAAGAAUAAAAAUAUUUUCUGUCAAAAUAUUUCAGGACUAUAAAUAGUUUUCUGAAUUUAUUUAAUUCAUUAUUCACAAUUCCAUCUAGAGAAAAGCCAUUUUCUCUCUGACAGAUCUUCGGGUUUUUAUCCCAGAUUGUGAGUAACUCUUUCUAGUAGUGUUAGAUUACAUAUUUGAUGCUUAUAACAUGAUUUAGUGGGCUAAAUCAUGAGANUUCCUGUCCUUAAAAGAAGAUCUCUCCGGUUGCUUCCUUCUCCUUGCUAAACUAGAAAUGAUCUCUUACGACUAGCAUUGCGAUUCACGCAUCUCGCACAACCGUGCCUGAGAUAUUAGUGGUGAAUACUCUUGUAUACUAGCCGUCUCACAGGUUCUCGUUAGCAAGGAUAGAGAGACAAAAGGAUAGCUUCGAAAGUAGGUAGGCUAGGGAGAUGCUCAAACCGGGGCUGGAUCGAAUUCCUGUAAGACUUCUAUCCUUUUUCUCUUUCUUUCUUACUAGAUUCCCCUGCCCCCUAUAUUCAAUUAAAAGACUAGAAAACCUCUCUUGUGCGUCUACGUACCCGUCUUACCAAUACUGAUUAGCUUAAGACUGAAAAUCUUAGUUAGAUAGCAUCUAUUGUAUUGUCUAUCUUAAUUCGCUUAAAGCCUUACUUUCAACUCGGCCUCCCGGUCAGUAUAUCCGAGUUCUACUUAAAUAGUCUCGGUUUUCAUAUUCUUUAUCUUUGAUAUGUGCGGUCCUCAAUCGCCGGACGGCUGCCCUCCAUCCCCUUGCUUCACGUGCGUGCCCUUCUUAUCAUUUGUUGGCUAGCCCUUUGUAUUUCAUGGCAUGGCUACAUGUGCCCUUUGGAUUUGAUGGCACUUCAACCGGGGGUCUUUUUUCAUCCUUCGAUGCUAACUCUGAACUCAUGCUUCCACCUCCAGCUUAAGCACUUCUAUCGAUCAAUUCUGGUUCAAGAUUUGAAACUGACAGCCGAACCCAACGAGUGAAGUAUACGUAAGGAGUCAGAAGAAAGCAAUAAAAAAAGAAAGAUUUCACGGCGAUAUCAAUUCCGUCAUAUCUGAAAGAAAUUCCUGAAAUAAAUAAAGAAUUCUGUCACUUCAAGAAAGAAGGAAGGAAUUCCAUCAAUAAUUGCCAAAUCCUAAAUUCAGUCUUCACUGAUAGAUAGAAAGAUAAAUUCUGUAAAGCAAAGAAAAGAGAAGGCUUGAAAUCAAAUCCAUCUUAAUACGAAAUUUUGAAAUAAAAAAUCUUUCCACUUCCAGCGCACCUCCUUUCCAUGCUACUUCUUUCUUUUCCACUUCAUGACCAGGAAUUAUAGGUCGGCAUUUCUUUCAUUCCAUCAAGAAAGGCACCUCUGGACGUCUGCUUCAACUNGGGGGGAUACAAGUACAAACAAACACGUUAUUAAAUCAUUGAUAUGUAUUUUAUAACUGUGUUUGUCAUUUAACAGAUUUCACAUGCUACAAAAUGUGAUGCAUGAAAUGGUUUUACAUCCUAACAGCACAUUGUUACCAAAUGUUUUACUUUUGAAAUGGGUAUUCAAAUGACAUCAAGUCAUUGUUAUUUAUUGUUCAAAACCCAUGAACUGUUUUACAAAACCAUUUUUUUUCAUUCUUGAACUAAACUAUGCUUAUACACUUAUGUUCCGNGAGAACUGCAUGUACUAAUAGUCGGAUAGAAGCCUACCAGCCUACCUUGUUCAUAUCGAGCCGGACAGGAGAGACCCUCUUUCAAGUUAAGAGAAGCAAUUCCGCUUGAAAAUAGGCGCUGUAAAUCAAUUCAAAUAGAUAGGGGAGUUCCGAACCAGCAGCAAGCCCUUUCUAAUGUCCUAGGCGAAGGCAGUGCAGGUGAAAGCCCAAUAGAUCCCAUUUUUUUGAUCGCUCCACAUAGCUCACGACCCGGCACGAAGAAAUCUCUUAGAUGGGCGGAUGCGAAUCUGGAUCUAUCAACGGAGCAAUUCCAUUCCAGUCGUAGUCUCAAUCCCAUAUUCAAUGUGCCGUCUCCGCCGUGUCUGACCCCCUCAAUCUUUCUAUCCGGAGUGAGUCAGGCGGCUAAGCCUUUCAUCCUGAUAAAAGAAAGAGUUUUCCCACCCUCCAUAAAUGGAAUCGGUUUGAGUGAAUUACUUACCGCAGUCAAAGCCAAUAGGGAAAGUCAGGUCAAGAGAGAGUCUCUUUCCGAUUAGUGCAUCUCGCACUUCCAAUUCAUUCCGAGUUAGAAAAAGUAAGUUCCUUCCCGGGUAAAGUCCUCUUAAAUGGAUUACUAGUUCCUUCCUUCCCAAUCAAUGCUAACUCUAUCUUCCUCUCUUGUAAUUUAGGAGAUUUCCCCAGCCCAUAAAGAACUGUAGUUACAUACAGCUCUCAAAAGAUAAAAAGAGAAAGAGCUAUGACUUCAAGUAAGAAAGUGAAAGUUCAGUCCUCACCGCCAAAAAGAAGACAGCAACAAUCCGUACUACUUCUCUCAGUAAAUAACAUUCUCUUAGUUAGAGAGUAAGUAGAUAGACGGAUUAGUACUUUUACCCAGGGGUAGCCUUCCUUGUCGCCAAAGAAGAAUGAGAAUUGAUAAAGUUUUCUUGGGCUUCAAUAGCAGAAGCAAAGAAGUCAAAUCAAUGCAGCUUUCGUGCCCAGCCUAAAGAUCCUAUCCUCGCAGCAGCUGGAGCUCUUGAUGGCACGUUCAAGCGAGUUUAUGAAUGAAUGAAAUCAGUUGAAGGAGCGGCCAAGGACGAAAGCUUUGAUUGCGUUCUGCUAUGGUUGGCUUUUUUCCUUGCCUAAAACAACUAUCUUCUCUUCGCGAACGGUUAAGAAUCCUCUUUGUAUGCGCGUUCUCUCUUGUUUAUUCUUCUAGUUUUUCCUUCUUAUGCUUAUGGGUGAGACUCCCUUUCUUCUUAGGUUGUCUGUAAGUCUAGUUCGUGGUUCACGGGUGAGGUUACCUGGAUAGGUGGGCAGUUCCUAUCGGUGGAGCUAAGACACCUUCGAGAGAUAUAGCUCUAGCUCUUGAUGGCACGGGCAAGACAGUUCAUGAAUGAAUGGCGAGUUUUCUAUUUACUAUAAUAUCUUUCUUGCGAAGGAAGCUUCUUUUUAGAAUUUAUUGCAUGAAGAAAUUGAAUCAACGGCAUCGAAUGCAAGCUCUGAUAAAGUUUGAUUCUUCUUUAUGGACUACAACGACCUAAAGUAGCUAAAUAAGUAGUGAAAGUAAGCUCCUGGCUAAAAUGAGUCUUGGUUCUACCCACCGGCAAGAAUUUUUCGACCUGAUUAAAUGAUUGUAGAUUGGCUAUUUCGGGGUUCCAUGCCCAUGGAUUGCCUUAUUAUAGCUUUUUUGAUUCGUCGGGUAUGCCGGCUAAGAGAAUCGCUUCUCGCCUUGCUUGCAAGAGUAUAAGCAAGCCGUAGCAUUUUGACCCAGAUAGAACUCUUUCAAUUCA
rnacentral:lncRNA from 1 species